rnacentral:rRNA from 1 species
GGAACGAGCGCUGGCGGCAUGCCUAACACAUGCAAGUCGAACGAGACCUUCGGGUCUAGUGGCGCACGGGUGCGUAACGCGUGGGAAUCUGCCCUUGGGUUCGGAAUAACAGCGAGAAAUUGCUGCUAAUACCGGAUGAUGACGUAAGUCCAAAGAUUUAUCGCCCAAGGAUGAGCCCGCGUAGGAUUAGCUUGUUGGUGAGGUAAGAGCUCACCGAAGGCGAACGAUCCUUAGCUGGUCUGAGAGGAUGAUCAGCCACACUGGGACUGAGACACGGCCCUGACUCCGUACGGGAGGCAGCAGGUGGGGAAUAGUAGGACAAGUGGGACGAAAGCCUGAUCCGAGCAAGUGCCGCGUGAGUGAGUGAACGGUCCGUUAAGGGUUGUAAAGGUCUUACGUUUUACCCGGGAUCG